rnacentral:rRNA from 1 species
AUGUUUUCUAUUUUUUUUCUUCCGCGAGAGGCACGGUUGUGCUUUCGCGAGAGGCACGGCCGUGCCUCUCAGAAACGGAAAGAAAACGCGUUUUCUGUUUUAUUUUUCUUCCGCGAGAGGCACGAUUUUGAUUCCGCGAGAGGCACGGUUGUGCUUUCGCGAGAGUCAUGGCCGUGCCUCUCGGAAAGAAAAAAAAACAUGUUUUAUGUUCUUUUUUCCUUCCGCGAUAGGCACGGUUUUGCUUCCGCGAGAGGCACGGUUGUGCUUUCGCGAGAGGCACGGUCGUGCCUCUCAAAAACGAAUAAAUGUAUUUUCUGUUUUUUCUUCCUUCCGCGAGAGGAACAGUUGUGA